UUUAUGUGUAAAAAAUAUAUAAUAUAAACAAUAAGCAUGUUAAAAACUUUUUAAAAUUGAUCACAAAAAGGAAAAAUACUUACACAUGUAAUGUCACAAAAUUCUUUUAUAAAUUAAAUGCAAUUGUUUCCUAUCUUUAUUGUUGUAGGACACUCAAUUUGGACAACAGCAAAACUUGCAGAGUGAAAACCUCAAAUUAAUUUAGUUUCUAGUUUAGUGCUCUUUUGUGUCGGAUAGGUUUUAUAUUGAAAAAAAAAUUAUUGGGCUAUUAGAUAAAGGAGUAGGUCUGGUAAGGGCCGAUUUAGGCCUCAAAUUUCAGGUUCAUCUAACGAAAGAUUUUUGGACACUUUUUAAACUCUUAAGUAUCGAUUUCAAUUGAUUCGAUUAGUUUUUGUGAAAGAUUUUAACUGAUUUAGUCAUUAAAAUUGUUGCGAUUCAAGCUUAAAUAUGAAAAAUCUAUCAAAUAUGCCAAAAA
rnacentral:lncRNA from 1 species